GUGUCUGCCCUGCAGCAGGGGGCAGGGGUUCGGGAUGGAGCGGCAGAAGAGGAGGGGACUAUGGAGCUGGGACCAAAAUGCCUGUGGAAGGAGGACCUGGGCCAGGUAGAGGAGCUACAGGAGCUUCUGGAGAAGCAAAACUUUGAGUUGAGCCAGGCCCGAGAGCGACUGGUCACCCUGACAGCAACGGUGGCAGAACUUGAAGAGGACCUGGGCACAGCCCGCCGGGACCUUAUUAAGUCAGAGGAGCUGAGCAGCAAGCACCAGCGGGACCUCCAUGAGGUGAGCAGGGUCUCGCGCCUGUUCUCAGCUCCCUCAUCUUGCUGGUUGCAGGUGCUUGGCAUUCAAGAGGCUGUGGCAGAGGUGCAGACAAGAGCUGGGCGUGUAAGGCUGAGAACUCAGUGGAUCAGAGUGGGAGAAGCAACGGGAUGGUUGGGCCAUGGGCAGACACUGAGAGGGGAGCGUAGAUCACACCUGUCCAUGUUUUGGAAGGGGGGGCCAGGGAAAGGCCGGUGACCUCUCCUCUCCUCCGCUCUGCUCCCAUCUAGGCUCUGGCCCAGAAGGAGGACAUGGAGGAGCGAAUCACCACACUGGAGAAACGCUACCUGGCUGCUCAGCGCGAGGCCACCUCCAUCCACGACCUCAAUGACAAACUGGAGAAUGAACUGGCCAACAAGGAGUCGCUGCACCGUCAGUGCGAGGAGAAGGCCCGGCACCUCCAGGAGCUGCUGGAGGUGGCAGAGCAGAAGCUGCAGCAGACGAUGCGCAAGGCAGAGACGCUGCCGGAGGUGGAGGCUGAGCUGGCCCAGAGAAUCGCAGCCCUCACCAAGGCUGAGGAACGGCACGGAAACAUCGAGGAGCAUCUUCAGCAUCUGGAAGGGCAGCUGGAGGAGAAGAACCAGGAGCUGGCAAGGGUGAGGGCAGCAGGCUGGCCUCUCGGCAGCUCCGGGGGACCAGGCACCCAGGAUGGUUUGUUAAGGGGGUGGAGAGCAGAGGAAGAGCCUGGUAGGGAUCGAGCCACACGGGCAGGGGAGGCCUGCAGGGUGGGGGUUAAGAGGUGGCCGGGAGAUCUGGAGAAAGGCUCCAUGAGGACCAGAAUGGCACAGGCAAUGAGGGCAGAGCCCAGCGGAAUGGCUGGGUCCCCGGGAGGGCGGUGACAAAGCUCUGAGGAAGCUUGGUGCAAGUUGGGCUGGCUGUGCAGGUGCGUCAGCGGGAGAAGAUGAACGAGGACCAUAACAAGCGGCUGUCAGAUACCGUGGACCGGCUGCUUAGCGAGUCAAAUGAGCGCCUGCAGCUGCAUCUCAAAGA
rnacentral:lncRNA from 1 species